GGGGCUGUGGCUCUGCGGUAGAGCAUCUGCUUGGCAUGCAGGAGGUUGCAGGUUCUAGCCCUGAUGUCACCUUCA
rnacentral:tRNA from 1 species